AGUGAACGCUGGCGGUAGGCCUAACACAUGCAAGUCGAACGGCAGCACAGUAAGAGCUUGCUCUUACGGGUGGCGAGUGGCGGACGGGUGAGGAAUACAUCGGAAUCUACUUUUUCGUGGGGGAUAACGUAGGGAAACUUACGCUAAUACCGCAUACGACCUACGGGUGAAAGCAGGGGAUCUUCGGACCUUUCGCGAUUGAAUGAGCCGAUGUCGGAUUAGCUAGUUGGCAGGGUAAAGGCCCACCAAGGCGACGAUCCGUAGCUGGUCUGAGAGGAUGAUCAGCCACACUGGAACUGAGACACGGUCCAGACUCCUACGGGAGGCAGCAGUGGGGAAUAUUGGACAAUGGGCGCAAGCCUGAUGCAGCCAUACCGCGUGGGUGAAGAAGGCCUUCGGGUUGUAAAGCCCUUUUGUUGGGAAAGAAAAGCAGCAGGUUAAUAUCCCGCUGUUCUGACGGUACCCAAAGAAUAAGCACCGGCUAACUUCGUG
rnacentral:rRNA from 1 species